rnacentral:tRNA from 1 species
GGGGCUGUAGCUCAGUGGCAGAGCGCUUGCCUAGCAUGCAUGAAGCACUGGGUUCCAUCCUCAGCACCA